UACGUAGGGUGCGAGCGUUAAUCGGAAUUACUGGGCGUAAAGCGUGCGCAGGCGGUUCGUUAAGUCAGAUGUGAAAGCCCCGGGCUCAACCCGGGAACUGCAUUUGAAACUGGCGGGCUUGAGUGUGGCAGAGGGGGGUGGAAUUCCGCGUGUAGCAGUGAAAUGCGUAGAGAUGCGGAGGAACACCGAUGGCGAAGGCAGCCCCCUGGGCCAACACUGACGCUCAGGCACGAAAGCGUGGGGAGCAAACAGG
rnacentral:rRNA from 1 species